rnacentral:rRNA from 1 species
AUGUGCGGCGGCGUCUCCCCUGCAGCUGCAGCUGCAGCUCCAGCUCCAGCUCCAGAGCCGGAAGAAGAAGAGAAAUGCAUGGGACCCGAUUCAGAAGACACAGAUUGCCUCGAUGUUGCUGAUGAGAAUUGCCUCAAGUCCAAGGAGUCCCUGUGGCCCGUGUACGAGUACUGGUGCGAGUAUCAUGAGCUAUCACGCAGCCCUGCGGAGAUGCGCCGCCGGUUCAAGACAUUUAGCAAGACGGCAAGGCGCGUGCACGAGUUCAACAAGUCGGGCGCGAGCAACAAGUUAAGGCUCAACCAGUUUGCAGACAUGACCUUCGCGGAGACGAAGAGGCGUUUUAAUUCUAGCAAAUACUCCUAA